UACGAAGGGGGCUAGCGUUGCUCGGAAUCACUGGGCGUAAAGCGCACGUAGGCGGAUUUUUAAGUCAGGGGUGAAAUCCUGGAGCUCAACUCCAGAACUGCCUUUGAUACUGGGAAUCUCGAGUCCGGGAGAGGUGAGUGGAACUGCGAGUGUAGAGGUGAAAUGCGUAGAGAUCGGCAGGAACACCCAGGGGGAAACCAGUCGACUGGGCAUCUACUGACGCUGAGGUGCGAGAGCGUGGGGAGCGAACCGG
rnacentral:rRNA from 1 species